rnacentral:lncRNA from 1 species
AAGAAUUUGAAAACUCAGAACAGAAGGGGAAAGAAUGGCAGGUUUCCCCACUGCGAGCCCUUCGAGAACAAUGUCAUGUUGAUCGAUGGCAGUGACUCACACCAGAUCUUUCCAUGCCUCCUCUGCAAGGACUCAAGAGAGUCGAGAGCAAAACCGUGCCAUAGUUCCAUAAGGAGGGCAAAGAGCUUUAUCCACGCUGAGGAACAGGCGGAUCAUGCGGCUACAGCACUGGUCUUUACCUUUUAACUGCUUGAUUCGAAACAUUCCAGCCAGGAACAGUGGCUCACACCUGUAAUCCCAGCACUUUGUGGGGCCAAGGCAGGUGGAUUGCUCGAGCUCAGGAGUUCGAAACCAGCCUGGGCAACCUGGCAAAACCUCAUCUCUACAAAAAAAUACAAAAAUUAGCCAGGCCUGGUGUGUGUGCCUGUGGUUCCAGCCACUCGGCAGGCUGCGGCCAGAGGAUCACUUGAGCCCAGGAAGUGGAGGCUGCAGUGAGCUGAGAUCGUGCCGCCACACUCCAGCCUGGGUGACAGAGCCAGACAUUGUCUCUAAAAAAAAAAAAAAAAGAAAAGAAAAGAAAGAAAAAAGAGAAAUAGUCCAAGACUAGGGAGAAAACCUUCUUUGGGGUCAGUGUGAACCAUUCUUUCAUUUGUUCAGCAAAUGCUUACUGAGGAGCUACUGUGUCCCUGAAAUUGCCUCCACCUCCAAGAAGACAGUGGUGAGCAAGUCAGACAAUACCUCUAAUCUCAUGGUAUUUAUAAGUAAAUGGGCCGUUAAAAUUACCAGAUCAGAAGUGCUGUGUUCAGCAAAUAGAGGCUCAUGGGAAACUCCUAAGAAGGGCUUCUGAGCUGGACUUGGGGGUCAGGAAAGGCAGAAUGAGGGGGCUGACUCAUCCAGACUGGGGCGGGGUUGCCGGGGGUGCCUCCCACUUACUAUCUGUCUCCUUCUAGACUGACUUCUCUGUCAUCAUGAAUACACCCCUUUAAGACAUACAUUUAAGAGAAAAUAAGAGGAUGCCUUAUUUAUUUAAAGGUUUGUUACAGUUUUACUAACAACCACAUACCUAAAGGAAAGUCGCAAGUAGAGCUCAAAAACUUUUUUCUCUGGGGCAGUGAAGAGUCAGUUGCCAGCCAGAAGGCCCACUGAGCCUGAGCACUUCAGGGUGUGCUUCCUACAGAUAAGGACAUCCUCCUGCAUAACAGGAAAGGGGUCCUGAUCCAGACCCCAAGAGAGGGUUCUUGGAUCUCGCACAAGAAAGAAUUCCGGGUGAGUCUGUAAAGCGAAAGCCAGUUUAUUAAGUAAAGGAGUAAAAGAAUGGCUAUUCCAUAGACAGAGCAGCCCUGAGGGCUGCUGAUUGCCCAGUUUUAUGGCUGUUUCUUGAUGAUAUGCUAAACAAGGGGUGGAUUACUCAUGCCUCCCCCUUUUAGACCGUAGAGGGCAAGUCCUGAUGUUGCCAUGGCGUUUGUAAACUGUCAUGGAGCUGGUGGGAGUGAAGCAGUGAGGAUGACCAGAGGUCACUCUCGGCACCAUCUUGGUUUUUGGUGGGUUUUAGCCAGCUUCUUUACUGCAACCUGUUUUUUCAGCAAUAUCUUUAUGACCUGUAUCUUGUGCCGACCUCCUAUCUCAUCCUGUAAAUUAGAAUGCCAUUACCAUCUGGGAAUGCAGCCCAGUAGGUCUCAGCCUUAUUUUACUCAGCUCCUAUUUAAGAUGGAGUCGCUCUGGUUCGAACGGCUCUGAUAUAACUGCUGCUCAGCCAUUGACGUCGGGAAGGUAGCACAGGCUCAUUGCCACCACUGAACCCUCAGACCCCACCCAAGUGUUGCCAGUUGUUCCAAUAAUGUCCUUUAUGGUGAAAGGACCAGAUCCAUGGUCACAUAUUGCAUUGAAUUGUCACGUCUUCUUCUUUAGUCUUCCCUCGACCUACAUGACCUUGCCAUUUUUGGAGAUAAUAGUUUAACAGUCCAGUGGGUUCACCUUGCCCGCUGCCUAGACAGAGCUGGUUGAUCAUGACAGGGGAGUUGCAAUGGACAAUGGAGAAAGCGUAAUUCACACAGAGUCGACUGUGUGGGAGACCAGAGUUUUGUUAAUACUCAAAUCAGUCUCCCUGAGCAUUUGGCGAUUAAAGUUUUUAAAGAUAAUUUGGUGGGUAGGGGCUUGGGAAGUGGAGAGUGCAAUGGAGAUGGAAUCACAGGGGGUCGAAGUGAGUUUUUCUUGCUGUUUUCUGUUCUUGGGUGGGAUGGCAGAACUGGUUGAGCCAGAUUACUGGUCUGGGUGGUGGUAGCUGGUCCACUGAGUGCAGGGUUUGCAAAAUAUCUCAAGCACUGAUCUUAGGUCUUACAAUAGUGAUGUUAUUGCCAGGAGCAAUUUGGGGAGGUUCAGACUCUUGGAGUCAGAGGCUGCAUGACCCCUAAACUGUAAUUUCUUGUUUUGUUUGUUUGUUUUGUUAUUGUUGUUUGGUUUUUUUUGAGACGGAGUUUCACUCUUGUUGCCCAGGCUGGAGUGCAAUGGCAUGAUCUCAGCUCACCGCAACCUCCACCUCCCAGGUUCAAGCAAUUCUCCUGCCUCAGCCUCCCAAGUAACUGAGAUUACAGGCAUGUGCCACCACGCCCGGCUAAUUUUGUAUUUUUAGUAGAGAUGGGGUUUCUCCAUGUUGGUCAGGCUGGUCUUGAACUCCUGACCUCAGGUGAUCUGCCUGCCUUGGCCUCCCAACGUGCUGGGAUUACAGGCAUGAGCCACUGCGCCUGGCCAGUAAUUUCUAAUCUUGUAGCUAAUUUGUUAGUCCUGCAAAGGCUGAGUGGUCCCAGGCAAGAAGGGGGUCUUUUUGGGAAAGGGGUUUUAUCAAUUUUGUUUCAGAGUCCAACCACGAAUUGAAUUCCUUCCCAAAGUUAGUUUGGCCUAUGCCCAGGGAUGAACAAGGACAGCUUAAAGGUUAGAAGCAAGAUGGAGUUGGUUAGAUCUGAUUUCUUCCAGUGUCAUAAUUUCCUGAGUUAUAAUUUUGCAAAGGUGGUUUCAAUAGGACACUUGCUUUGUAGCCUGCACUUUGGUUUUCAUUUCUCUGAUGUGCCCUCACGGUUAGGGCCAAGUGAUGCAUCUUUAGUGGGAAUAGCUCAGGAGUAGUGCGGUCUUCUUAUUGUAUUAUAACACAUGCGGUGGCAUUUGUUGGCUCAGCUUCUACACUGUAAAGUUGCUCUUUUUGCCUCUUAAUGAAUAUGUAUCUUGAGGGAGAUACUAAAAAAAAUCCCUUUCCUCAUCAAAUUCUGCAUGUGUUCAGUAUGGAUUCAUGGCUUUCUAUUUUAUCCACUAGGUUAUAAUCUGUUGCCAUCUUUAUUUUAAUACUCAAAUUCUCCCAUAUUCAGUGACCACCUCAAGCUGACUUCUGUAUCCUUUUGACACAUCUCAGUCAUUCUUUGAGCACUUCCUUUUUUGCUGAGAUGGGUACAUGUUCUAGGCCCACCCUGUGCUUCCCCUGUCUAGUCUGGAAUCAGCCGUUUCUCAAAGGAGCUUUUGGUGGAGAAUGGUGUUUAGAAACCAAGAUCUGGAUAGCAGGUGUGCUCGCUGUGAUUGGGCUAUUGCUGCUCCCAAUCCUCUAGAUAGCCAGAACAACAACAUAAAAACAUGUAUGUUUGGCUGGGCACGGUGGCCGAUGCCUGUAAUCCCAGCACUUUGGGAGGUUGAGGUGGGUGGAUCACCUCAGGUCAGUUUGAGACCAGGCUGACCAACAUGGUGAAACCUUGUCUCUACUA